GACGAACGCUGUUUGCGUGCUUAACACAUGCAAGUCGAACGGAAAGGCCCUGCUUUUGUGGGGUGCUCGAGUGGCGAACGGGUGAGUAACACGUGAGUAACCUGCCCUUGACUUUGGGAUAACUUCAGGAAACUGGGGCUAAUACCGGAUAGGAGCUCCUGCUGCAUGGUGGGGGUUGGAAAGUUUCGGCGGUUGGGGAUGGACUCGCGGCUUAUCAGCUUGUUGGUGGGGUAGUGGCUUACCAAGGCUUUGACGGGUAGCCGGCCUGAGAGGGUGACCGGCCACAUUGGGACUGAGAUACGGCCCAGACUCCUACGGGAGGCAGCAGUGGGGAAUAUUGCACAAUGGGCGGAAGCCUGAUGCAGCAACGCCGCGUGCGGGAUGACGGCCUUCGGGUUGUAAACCGCUUUCGCCUGUGACGAAGCGUGAGUGACGGUAAUGGGUAAAGAAGCACCGGCUAACUACGUGCCAGCAGCCGCGGUGAUACGUAGGGUGCGAGCGUUGUCCGGAUUUAUUGGGCGUAAAGGGCUCGUAGGUGGUUGAUCGCGUCGGAAGUGUAAUCUUGGGGCUUAACCCUGAGCGUGCUUUCGAUACGGGUUGACUUGAGGAAGGUAGGGGAGAAUGGAAUUCCUGGUGGAGCGGUGGAAUGCGCAGAUAUCAGGAGGAACACCAGUGGCGAAGGCGGUUCUCUGGGCCUUUCCUGACGCUGAGGAGCGAAAGCGUGGGGAGCGAACAGGCUUAGAUACCCUGGUAGUCCACGCUGUAAACGGUGGGUACUAGGUGUGGGGUCCAUUCCACGGGUUCCGUGCCGUAGCUAACGCUUUAAGUACCCCGCCUGGGGAGUACGGCCGCAAGGCUAAAACUCAAAGGAAUUGACGGGGCCCCGCACAAGCGGCGGAGCAUGCGGAUUAAUUCGAUGCAACGCGUAGAACCUUACCUGGGUUUGACAAGGAUCGGGAGUGCUCAGAGAUGGGUGUGCCUCUUUUGGGGUCGGUUCACAGGUGGUGCAUGCCUGUCGUCAGCUCGUGUCGUGAGAUGUUGGGUUAAGUCCCGCAACGAGCGCAACCCUCGUUCACUGUUGCCAGCACGUUAUGGUGGGGACUCAGUGGAGACCGCCGGGGUCAACUCGGAGGAAGGUGGGGAUGACGUCAAGUCAUCAUGCCCCUUAUGUCCAGGGCUUCACGCAUGCUACAAUGGCUGGUACAGAGAGUGGCGAGCCUGUGAGGGUGAGCGAAUCUCGGAAAGCCGGUCUCAGUUCGGAUUGGGGUCUGCAACUCGACCUCAUGAAGUCGGAGUCGCUAGUAAUCGCAGAUCAGCAACGCUGCGGUGAAUACGUUCCCGGGGCU
rnacentral:rRNA from 1 species